rnacentral:rRNA from 1 species
GUCUUUUUGAUUAUAAUUUAAAGUCUGGCCUGCCCAAUGAGGAGUUUAAUGGCCGCGGUAAUUUGACCGUGCGAAGGUAGCAUAAUCAUUAGUUUUUUAAUUGAAAGCUGGUAUGAAUGGUCGGACGAGAAAGUGACUGUCUCUAUCUAAAUUUUAUUAGAAUUUUACAUUUAAGUUAAAAGGCUUAAAUUUUUUUAAAAGACGAGAAGACCCUAUAGAAUUUAAUAAUUUUAUUAAUAUGAAAAUGUUAGUAUUAUUAAUUUUGUAUUAAUAAAAUUAUUUUGUUGGGGUGACAGUAAAAUUUAGUUAACUUUUAUUAUAUUAAACCACUUAUUUGUGAAUUAAUGAUCCAUUUUAGUAUGAUUAUAAGACAUAAUUACCUUAGGGAUAACAGCGUAAUUUUUUUUGAGAGUUCUUAUCGAAAAAAGAGUUUGCGACCUCGAUGUUGGAUUAAAGUUAAUUUAUGGUGUAGAAGCUAUACAAUUAAGUCUGUUCGACUUUUAAAACUUUACAUGAUCUGAGU